rnacentral:lncRNA from 1 species
CAGCCCGCCUGCACCCGGGUGAAGUAAACAGCCAUGUUGCUCACACAAAGCCUGUUUGGUGGUGUCUUCACACGGACGCGCAUGAAAGGUACUUGAACUAAAGAAGACCUAUGUGAACAUUUUAGUCAGAAUCUGGGCUUUCAGAUAAAUCAAAACCAGCGAUGAAGUCCCUCAUACACAGCAAUUCCGAUGCCAGGUAUAUUUUAUGAUGAAAACAGUGUUUUAGAAGUGAUGAAACUUAAUUUAAAGAAUUUAAUUGGGAUGGUUACAGGACACCAGUAGACACUCACACCUGACUUCUCCUACAUGUAUCACUCACCAUUAAACUUAAGUUGCCAGUCAUAGUCUAGAAAGAUCAGUAAAGACCACAUUGCCAUUAUGGAAAAUUAUAUUAGAUAUGUACCAAUAUACACGUGUUAACACAAGCUAUCUUAAGUAAGUUACCACAUGAGAGAGAUUAUAACAACAUUCUCGUUUUAUAGAUAAGGAAAUGGGCAGAGGAUGCUUAAACAGUUUCUUGAAGGUCUCUCACACACUCACAUAUCUAGAAAUCAUGUAGCUGAAAUUGUGAACAAGCAGUCUACCUUGAGAACAUAUGCUGUUAGUCAUUAAACUAUAAUGCUUAAUAAGUAAUUUGCCAGAUGUUAAAGAAAAUUACACUAGGCAAAUUAAACAGCAAGGAAGACUUCAUAAAAGACUAGCAGUAAAGGUCAAGGCUAUUGCACUAGGAAAGAGAGAUUGAACUCAGCUGUGGUGAAACAAAAGGCAGGAAAGUUAUUAAGUACUGGGGUGAGCUAACAGAAGAGUACAGGAAGACUUUAUCGGAAGGUUGGUCAAUUUCUUUAGGCCAUCUGUGUUUGAUAAUUGGUACUUGUAAUCUGUGUUUGCUAAUUAAGUAGGCUUCUGCCCACCCACACAGAGACUGAGAGCUAGGAGUGAUUUUAUUUUGUUGUUCAUUUUACUGUAAUUAUAUUUCAAAGGGAUGGCUCCCAGACUCACGAGAAAGACAUUACUUUGUUGUAAAACUGGGGAGAGGCCAGGCAAAGAUUUAUACCUCAAAGGUGCAGAGAAAGAAUUCGUUAAUUGCAAGUUUUUGACAAUAAAGUCUCUAAAAAUAGGGAGGUCAAAGACCUAUAGCCAGGAAGAAACCUGUCCAAGAUUUAGUCAAGCUGAAGAGAAUGUUAAUGAAGUCCAUUCUGGUCACAGCUUGGGCUGAUAUUCACUUUUUGGGUAUGAAAAUAAUUGUUUUCAAUUAUAGAAUGAAUUUGGUUACUGAGGGAGGAUUAUUGGGCUUCUGCCCAUAAAAAAUGAAUUGUGUGGUUAGGUAACUUAAAUAAUUUAAAUUAAAUUUUAUCUUCUUAAUUAAAUAUAUUCUGACAACAAAAUUUAUUUAUUUAUUUUAUUAUUUUUUUUGAGAAGGAGUCUUGCUCCUGUUGCCCAGGCUGGAGUGCAACGGCAUGAUCUUGGCUCAUUGCAGUCUCUGCCUCCUGGGUUCAAGUUAUGCUCCUGACUCAGCCUCCUGAGUAGCUGGGAUUACAGGCACCUGCCACCACACCCGGCUAAUUUUUUGUAGUUUUAGUAGAGGCAGGGUUUCACCAUGUUGGCCAGGCUGGUCUCGAACUCCUGACCUCAAAUGAUCUAACUGCCUCGGCCCCUCAAAGUUCUAGGAUUAUAGGCGUGAGCCACCAUGUCUGGACAAUUUUUGUUAAUUUUUAAAGAUAAAAUAUAUGAAUAAGAAAAAUAUUUAAUUAAAUUCUAAGCAUUUGAGUUAUUAACACAGAGGACUUUCACUCAUAUUACCAAUUUAAAAGCAGAUAACAAUAUGUUUUCACAUUUUGAAACAUAUGACUACAAUUAGUCUGCAACUUCUAUGUUGCAGGUUUUAUCAUUUUUGCAUAUCUCAAAUUUUCUACAUUUAAGUUCUUUUACUUAUGAUAUAGUAAAACAAGAGAAAUAAUGCAUAAACCUUGCAGUAUGACCUAUAAUUUCUUAAAAUGAAACAAAGUUUAAGUUGAGAUGAAAAUUAUCAUUUGAAUGUUGAUAUUACAUCAUAUACAAAUUGAUUGCAACAUAGUUAUUUAAUGUAACAUUCUAUUUUAAAAGAUAAAUUUAUCAGAAUCAUACAUUGCUACAGUAGUCUCCCUUAUCCACAGGUUCAUUUUCUAUGGUUUCAGUUACCUACUGUCAACAAGGAUCCAACAAUAUUACAUGGAAAAUCACAGAAAUAAACAGUUUGGACGGGGGCAGAGAAAUUCUAGCCAGAAAAGUGUGGGUCACUGACAAACCGCCACUCUCAAGCCAAAAAACCUGAAACCACAGGCCAAAGUGAGAGCUUAUAUACCUGUUUUCCCACUUGAAUGCUGCUUUUUCCUCAACCACCCCUGGCCCCGCCCUGCGCCAUCCUGUGCCUAUUAAAACCCCAGACUCAGCUAGUACAUGGGACUAUGGCUGGACGUGGGAGAAAAGCAGCUUGACUUCAGAAGGACAGCUUAACAGCGUAACUUCGGAGAAGAAUCUGGCUGGAGAUGACCUGACUUCAGGGGAAGUUUGCAGAUGUGGAUCCUGACUCCUGCAAGAAGUAGCUCACCGUGACAAAACUACCUUUGCCUUUAUUGAUUUGCAAAUCAAAGAAGGGGGACAUGUUGGGAGCAGGCCCCCCGAAACUGGCCAUAAACAAAACCGCUGCAGCACUGUAACAUGUUCAUAAUGGCCCUAAUGCCCACGCUGGAAGGUUGUGGGUUUACUGGAAUGAGGGCAAGGAACACCUGGCCUGCCCAGGGAGGAAAACUGCUUAAAGGCAUUCUUAAGCCACAAACAAUAGUAUGAGCAAUCUGUGCCUUAAGGACAUGCUCCUGCUGCAGUUAACCAGUACAACCUAUUCCUUUAAUUCGGCCCAUCCCUUCAUUUCCCAUAAGGGAUAUUUUUAGUUAAUUUAAUAACUAUAGAAACAAUGCUAAUGACUAGUUUGCUGUUAACAAAUACGUGGGUAAGUCUCUGUUCAGGGCUCUCAGCUCUGAAGGCUGUUGAGACCCCUGAUUUCCCACUUCACACCUCUAUAUUUCUGUGCGUGUGUCUUUAAUUCCUCUAGCGCCGCUGGGUUAGGGUCUCCGCAACCGAGCUGGUCUCGGCAGUAUCUCAUAUAUCUAUCUACUUUAUUGUAUGCCUUGAGUACAUCACUACAACAUGGAUAUUGCCACAAAAAUAUCUUUGUCUGACUAUUUUCCCACUCGAGUGACAUAGCCAGGGGAAUAGCAACUGGUGUCUAAAGAAACCCCAAGAAAUUUUAUGCAUGAACCAGGAAGACAAGAGAGGGUCACUCUCCCUAAGAUACCCAUAGGAAAUCAGAUUAGGGGUUUAGGUACAUUAACACAAAAUUAAACCAAAGCAAAGGCUUCUUCAGUAAUCUAUCAUUUUUUCUUAAGUCUGUACUUGCCCAACUGUUUUAGUCCUAUCAUCCUAACCUUAAAGGUAGCUGAAAAGGGAAGAGAAAAAGCAGAUGAAAAUGGAAAAUGGACCUCCGCCAGGGAUUAUGCAAAGCUAUAUCUUGCCCUUUGAAGAACACAAGUAUUACCAUUCAGAAAACUUUCCUCUAUAAUUCAUGCAAUGUAGAAAAAAAUGCACAAAAUCUAAAACUCCACAUUUGAAUGCCAGUCUAAAUAAUUGACAUUACUCAAAAAAACUUGGUAUUCAAAUAUGAAGUUUUUUCCAUGUUAAUGUUACUUAAAAAGAACAAAAAGGAGAAGACUAGGAUUGAGGGGCUUGGGAGAGGAAUGGGAGGAGAAACAAGAGGACAAAGAAAAGGGAAAAUGGUAGGAGAAAUUUAUAGCUGAAAUGAGACAACUAUUAUUCUUCAUGUUUACUAAAUGAAAUUUCAUUUAUAUGUGUCAUUUAAAUGAAAAAUAAUACAACUCAUAUUAUGGGAACUUCAUUUCUCAUAAAUCAUAUAAAUAAUUAUAUAUGUGUUUUUGUGUAUAAUUAGUCCAUAUUCCACAGAAAUAAUUUGAAAAAAUGCCCUAAGGAAAUCACCUCUUAUUAUACCUCUGCUUAACAAAAAGAUUAAUAUGAAACUUUAGAUUUCUUUUCUAGUUUUUUCUAAGAUAAUUUAAUAUAAAACUUGUAUUUUAUAUAUUCACUAUAUACUAUGUUAUAUAUUUACUUACCUACUAUAUAUAGUUUGUAUCUUUUUCCAUUAUUAAAAAACAACUAAAUAUAUCAUUAAAAUUGACCAAAUAUCAUAAUGACUUCAUUAGAUUUUAUUAUUUUUCAGCUGGUUCUCUAAGGUAUUUUGGGGAGAUCAUGUUUUCUGCAUAUAAUGAUUAUUAAACAAAACUAUAAGAGGCCAUGAUUUUAGACUGAGCUCAAGCACUAGGCCCUAACAGACCAGACCAAACAAAAUGGAGUCAUUCCUGCUAAAUGCCAUAUAAGAAAUUGGAAACUCUAAGGAAGCAAAGAGAUCUCAAAACAAACCUAUUUUGUCUUCUGAAAACAGGAGAUCACAGAAUAAUAAGGAAGUCCUCUCUGCUUUAACCUUUAUAGAAAAGUGACCUGAAGAAACCAAUCAGUUAUUAUUAUUAUUAUUUUUUUUUACCGUUGUUCUCUUUGCUUGUUUUCACCUUACAAAACCCACUGUUUUGCUAUUUUCCAGUGGAAUUGAGAAGAAGUUAGUUCAUUUACAACGGUGAAAGAAUGACAUCAAUGCCUAAAGUUUUGAUCAACUUCUUAAUUUUGAGAGAUUAACCAAAAGGGAGGAAUUAUUAAAUUAAGUUUAGCCUAAAGCUGCUUCCUUAUAUAUUUUAAGUUCAGCCUAAAGGUUUCUCCAUACAUAGUGAACUGUAAUCUAACUGGAAAUGUGAAUGGACUCUUGUAACAAGUAGCCAAAUCUCCAACCAUGGGAAAGUCCCAGAGUCACUGUGAACCUGUUUUGCUUAGAAGGAGGAGGAUUGUCCUUUAGCAAAUCAUUCUUUCUUCAAUUAAAAACUUCGUUAAAUU